rnacentral:lncRNA from 1 species
AUCUAGGGCACACAUCUAACAGUGGCUCGACCAAUCCUAGUGUAACCAUGGAUAGGUUUAUAAUCAAUUAUUUCUUCAAAUAACUUCUAGCAAUUAGAUUUUGCCCCAAGCAUCCCUUCAGCAGGCGUGUGACACCUCCACUGAAAAUCUUAGUUAGAUCCAACCAUUAAUAUGACAAUACCAAGUGCAUCCAACAAACAAAUGUCCAGACCCGAGUGUGGCUCAACCAAC